rnacentral:rRNA from 1 species
GACGGAGGAUGCAAGUGUUAUCCGGAAUCACUGGGCGUAAAGCGUCUGUAGGUUGUUUAAAAAGUCUGCAGUUAAAGGUUGAAGCUUAACUUCAAAAAUGCCGUAGAAACUUUUAAACUAGAGGAUGGUAGGGGUAGAGGGAAUUUCCAGUGGAGCGGUGAAAUGCGUUGAUAUCGGAAGGAACGCCGGUGGCGAAAGCGCAUCACUGGUCCUCUUCUGACGCUGAGGCGCGAAAGCCAGGGGAGCAAACGGG